CACGUAGGGCGCAAGCGUUGUCCGGAAUUAUUGGGCGUAAAGAGCUCGUAGGCGGUCUGUUGCGUCCGCUGUGAAAACUCGGGGCUUAACCCCGAGCCUGCAGUGGAUACGGGCAGACUAGAGGUAGGUAGGGGAGAAUGGAAUUCCCGGUGUAGCGGUGAAAUGCGCAGAUAUCAGGAGGAACACCGGUGGUGUAGACGGCUUCUGGACCGUAACUGACGCUGAGACACGAAAGCGUGGGUAGCAAACAGG
rnacentral:rRNA from 1 species